ACUAUUUUGGCAGAGAAAAUGUGAUGAUUUUAGAAUUCAUUAAUAUAUAAUUUAUUUAUAUAGAUAGUA
rnacentral:tRNA from 1 species